GGUCUAAUCGCGAAUAUGACUCCGCACUUCCUGGUGUGUGGUGGAAAGCUUUUGCGGUGUGGGAUGGGCCCGCGGCCUAUCAGCUUGUUGGUGGGGUGAUGGCCUACCAAGGCGACGACGGGUAGCCGGCCUGAGAGGGUGACCGGCCACACUGGGACUGAGAUACGGCCCAGACUCCUACGGGAGGCAGCAGUGGGGAAUAUUGCACAAUGGGCGCAAGCCUGAUGCACCGACGCCGCGUGAGGGAUGACGGCCUUCGGGUUGUAAACCUCUUUCAAUAGGGACGAAGCGCAAGUGACGGUACCUAUAGAAGAAGGACCGGCCAACUACGUGCCAGCAGCCGCGGUAAUAC
rnacentral:rRNA from 1 species